CCUAAUCCUUGGGAUGUCAUUAAGUAAUGAUCAUUGUUUCACGGUGUAUGCUGAAAGCCAAUAUCAAUCUCCCUAAAUUCUGGAUGAAGUUAAACACAGUAUACUUGAAGACAUAAGAAGAGCCAUACAUGGAAGUUGACAUAAGACUCUGUUUCCAAUUCCCCUGGAAAUCUUUCUUCAACCAGGAUGCAAGUUUCAUCUAAAGUCUUCCAUCAAUCAACGAGCCAAAAAACCGGAGGACUACAGGAAACCUCAAGAUGUUCCACUCUGGGCCAGACUGAGCGAAUCUACCACAGACAGAUGAGAUUCUAUCCUACAUGGAAAGACAUUAUCGCGAUUCCAAAAAAGCUUCCUUACUGCUCUCUUUUGGGAAAUAAUUCACUGAAUGGAAUUAAUUUGGCAUCCUUUCAUGGGAAAGCGAUAAGCUCCAUUCAUGACC